rnacentral:rRNA from 1 species
AGUGAACGCUGGCGGCAGGCCUAACACAUGCAAGUCGAGCGGCAGCGGGUCCUUCGGGCUGCCGGCGAGCGGCGGACGGGUGAGGAAUGCAUCGGAAUCUGCCCUGUCGUGGGGGAUAACCUAGGGAAACUUAGGCUAAUACCGCAUACGACCCACGGGUGAAAGCGGGGGAUCGCAAGACCUCGCGCGUUAGGAUGAGCCGAUGUCCGAUUAGCUAGUUGGCGGGGUAAAGGCCCACCAAGGCGACGAUCGGUAGCUGAUCUGAGAGGAUGAUCAGCCACACUGGAACUGAGACACGGCCCAGACUCCUACGGGAGGCAGCAGUGGGGAAUAUUGGACAAUGGGCGCAAGCCUGAUCCAGCCAUGCCGCGUGGGUGAAGAAGGCCUUCGGGUUGUAAAGCCCUUUUGUCCGGGAAGAAAUCGUCUGGGCUAAUACCCCGGGCGGAUGACGGUACCGGAAGAAUAAGCACCGGCUAACUUCGUG